GUACCGUGAGGGAAAGGUGAAAAGCACCCCGGAAGGGGAGUGAAAUAGAACCUGAAACCGUGUGCUUACAAGUAGUCAGAGCCCGUUAAUGGGUGAUGGCGUGCCUUUUGUAGAAUGAACCGGCGAGUUACGAUUUGAUGCAAGGUUAAGCAGUAAAUGUGGAGCCGUAGCGAAAGCGAGUCUGAAUAGGGCGUUUAGUAUUUGGUCGUAGACCCGAAACCAGGUGAUCUACCCUUGGUCAGGUUGAAGUUCAGGUAACACUGAAUGGAGGACCGAACCGACUUACGUUGAAAAGUGAGCGGAUGAACUGAGGGUAGCGGAGAAAUUCCAAUCGAACCUGGAGAUAGCUGGUUCUCUCCGAAAUAGCUUUAGGGCUAGCCUCAAGUGAUGAUUAUUGGAGGUAGAGCACUGUUUGGACGAGGGGCCCCUCUCGGGUUACCGAAUUCAGACAAACUCCGAAUGCCAAUUAAUUUAACUUGGGAGUCAGAACAUGGGUGAUAAGGUCCGUGUUCGAAAGGGAAACAGCCCAGACCACCAGCUAAGGUCCCAAAAUAUAUGUUAAGUGGAAAAGGAUGUGGCGUUGCCCAGACAACUAGGAUGUUGGCUUAGAAGCAGCCAUCAUUUAAAGAGUGCGUAAUAGCUCACUAGUCGAGUGACACUGCGCCGAAAAUGUACCGGGGCUAAACAUAUUACCGAAGCUGUGGAUUGUCCUUUGGACAAUGGUAGGAGAGCGUUCUAAGGGCGUUGAAGCAUGAUCGUAAGGACAUGUGGAGCGCUUAGAAGUGAGAAUGCCGGUGUGAGUAGCGAAAGACGGGUGAGAAUCCCGUCCACCGAUUGACUAAGGUUUCCAGAGGAAGGCUCGUCCGCUCUGGGUUAGUCGGGUCCUAAGCUGAGGCCGACAGGCGUAGGCGAUGGAUAACAGGUUGAUAUUCCUGUACCACCUAUAAUCGUUUUAAUCGAUGGGGGGACGCAGUAGGAUAGGCGAAGCGUGCGAUUGGAUUGCACGUCUAAGCAGUAAGGCUGAGUAUUAGGCAAAUCCGGUACUC
rnacentral:rRNA from 1 species